AGAAACUUAGGUUAACCUGUAACUAAACCAAAGGCCUUCAAAGCCUUAAAUGAGAGUUGGACCCUCUUAGUUUCUG
rnacentral:tRNA from 1 species